rnacentral:rRNA from 1 species
AGUAUAGGCGGUAGAGCACUGAUCGGGCUAGGGGCCAUAAAGGUUACCGAACCCUGUCAAACUCCGAAUGGUUAUACUGUAGAGCUUGGGAGUCAGACUACGAGUGAUAAGAUCCGUGGUCAAAAGGGAAACAGCCCAGACCACCAGCUAAGGUCCCCAAUGUCGUACUAAGUGGAAAAGGAUGUGGGGUCUCUAAAACAACCAGGAUGUUGGCUUAGAAGCAGCCACCAUUUAAAGAGUGCGUAAUAGCUCACUGGUCGAGAGACCCUGCGCCGAAGAUUACCGGGGCUAAAGUACGAAACCGAAGCUGUGGCUACGACGUAAGUCGUGGGGUAGGGGAGCGUUCUGUGAGGGCUGAAGUCGUUCUGUAAGGAACGGUGGACUUCACAGAAGUGAGAAUGUUGGUAUGAGUAGCGAAAAGAAUGGUGAGAAUCCAUUCCACCGAAAGCAUAAGGAUUCCUGGGCAACGAUCGUCGUCCCAGGGUAAGUCGGGACCUAAUCCGAGGCAUGGAGCGUAGGAGAUGGACAACUGGCAGAUAUUCCAGUACCGGUAAUGAUUGUUUGAGCGAUGGAGUGACACAGGAGGGCAGGCAGGCAGGAGAUUGGUUGUUCCUGUACAAGCGUGUAGGGUGGAACGUAGGCAAAUCCGCGUUCUGAGAGCCUGAGGCGUGAUGUGGAGGUUCCGGAAACGGAACUGAAGCUGCUGACCCCACACUGUCGAGAAAAGCUUCUAGUUAGAGAAUUACCGCCCGUACCGUAAACCGACACAGGUAUGCGGGGAGAGAAUCCUAAGGUGCGCGGGAGAACCCUCGUUAAGGAACUCGGCAAAAUGUACCCGUAACUUCGGGAUAAGGGUAGCCGCUGUUGUGAAGUCUGCACAGACGGAGCAUGAGGCGGUCGCAGAGAAGAGGCCCAAGCGACUGUUUACCACAAACACAGGUGCCUGCUAAAGAGAAAUCUGACGUAUAGGUGCUGACACCUGCCCAGUGCCGGAAGGUUAAGGAAGGAUGUCCGGAGCAAUCCAAAGCAUUCGACCGAAGCCCCGGUGAACGGCGGCCGUAACUAUAACGGUCCUAAGGUAGCGAAAUUCCUUGUCGGGUAAGUUCCGACCCGCACGAAAGGUGUAACGAUUUGGGCACUGUCUCAACGAGGGACCCGGUGAAAUUGAAGUACCUGUGAAGAUGCAGGUUACCCGCGACUGGACAGAAAGACCCCAUGGAGCUUUACUGUAACCUGACAUUGGGUUCUGAUACAUCACGUACAGGAUAGGUGGGAGGCAUGGAAGCGAGGACGCUAGUCUUCGUGGAGCCGCCGUUGGGAUACCACCCUUGAUGUAUCGGAAUUCUAACCGUAGGAGUAACGAAACUCGGGACAGUGUCAGGCGGGCAGUUUGACUGGGGCGGUCGCCUCCCAAAGAGUAACGGAGGCGCCCAAAGGUUCCCUCAGCGCGGCCGGAAAUCGCGCGAAGAGUGUAAAGGCAGAAGGGAGCUUGACUGAGAGCCAAACACGGCGAUCAGGUACGAAAGUAGGGCUUAGUGAUCCGGUGGCAUCCAAGUGGAAGGGCCAUCGCUCAACGGAUAAAAGCUACCCUGGGGAUAACAGGCUAAUCUCUCCCAAGAGUCCAUAUCGACGGGGAGGUUUGGCACCUCGAUGUCGGCUCAUCACAUCCUGGGGCUGAAGUCGGUCCCAAGGGUUGGGCUGUUCGCCCAUUAAAGUGGUACGUGAGCUGGGUUCAGAACGUCGUGAGACAGUUCGGUCCCUAUCCAUCGCGGGCGCAAGAGAUUUGAAGGGGGCUGCUCCUAGUACGAGAGGACCGGAGUGGACGAACCAAUGGUGUACCAAUUAUCUCGCCAGAGGUAUAGUUGGGUAGCUACGUUCGGAAAGGAUAAACGCUGAAAGCAUCUAAGCGUGAAACCAGCCUUAAGAUGAGAUCUCUCAUAGAGUAAUCUAGUAAGACACCUUGGAGAAGACGAGGUUGAUAGGUCGGGAGUGUAAGUACAGUAAUGUAUUCAGCGGACCGAUACUAAUAUGUCGAGGGCUUGACUUA